AGAGAGAGACAUGCGCGCAUAUCAAUAAGCGGAGGAAAAGAAACUAACAAGGAUUCCCUUAGUAACGGCGAGUGAAGCGGGAAGAGCUCAAAUUUGAAAUCUUCAAGGUUUUACCUUGACGAAUUGUAGUUUAAAGAAGUGUUUUCUGCUGAAGUUUUGGUAAAAGUUCUUUGGAAUAGGACAUCAUAGAGGGUGAGAAUCCCGUAUUUGACCAUUAUUUUCAGCUUUGUGAUACACUUUCAAAGAGUCGGAUUGUUUGGGAAUGCAGUCCAAAAUGGGUGGUAAAUUUCAUCUAAAGCUAAAUAUUGGCGAGAGACCGAUAGCGAACAAGUACCGUGAGGGAAAGAUGAAAAGAACUUUGAAAAGAGAGUUAAACAGUACGUGAAAUUGUCAAAAGGGAAGCGUUUGACACCAGUGUUGUCUUCCUCGAAAAUCAAUUAAAAAUGGCUCGAUUUUGUAUUGCUUGAGACCUUAAAAGCUCACUGUACAUUUUUCCGUGUCUUUUUUAAUGCACUUUUCGUUUAACAAGUCAACAUCAGUUUCUUUUGUUGUAAAAGGGUCAUUGGAAGGUGGCUUUCUUUUCGGAGAAAGUGUUUACAGCCUUUGGCCUCUGCAAUCGAAGAGACCUGAGGUCUGCAGCGUAGACUCUUCGGGGUUAGAUACAUUUGUGCUAAGUUAUAGCUUUUUAUAGACAACUUGUUGACUAUAAUUAGUCUUGUAGCUUACUCGCUUAUGCUAUUUUACCUACGCUUAGGAUGUUGAGUCGUAGAGCACGCAG
rnacentral:rRNA from 1 species